rnacentral:rRNA from 1 species
AUGACGGCCUUCGGGUUGUAAACCUCUUUCACCAUUGGCGAAGCCUUUGGGUUUUCUCUUGGGUGACGGUAGGUGGAGAAGAAGCACCGGCCAACUACGUGC